rnacentral:rRNA from 1 species
CCUAACACAUGCAAGUCGAGCGGUAGAGAAGGAGCUUGCUUCUUCUUGAGAGCGGCGGACGGGUGAGUAAUGCCUAGGAAUCUGCCUGGUAGUGGGGGACAACGUUUCGAAAGGAACGCUAAUACCGCAUACGUCCUACGGGAGAAAGUGGGGGAUCUUCGGACCUCACGCUAUCAGAUGAGCCUAGGUCGGAUUAGCUUGUAGGUGAGGUAAUGGCUCACCUAGGCAACGAUCCGUAACUGGUCUGAGAGGAUGAUCAGUCACACUGGAACUGAGACACGGUCCAGACUCCUACGGGAGGCAGCAGUGGGGAAUAUUGGACAAUGGGCGAAAGCCUGAUCCAGCCAUGCCGCGUGUGUGAAGAAGGUCUUCGGAUUGUAAAGCACUUUAAGUUGGGAGGAAGGGUUGUAGCUUAAUACGCUGCAACUUUGACGUUACCAACAGAAUAAGCACCGGCUAACUCUGUGCCAGCAGCCGCGGUAAUACAGAGGGUGCAAGCGUUAAUCGGAAUUACUGGGCGUAAAGCGCGCGUAGGCGGCUUGAUAAGAUGGGUGUGAAAUCCCCGGGCUUAACCUGGGAACUGCAUCCAUAACUGUCUGGCUAGAGUACAGUAGAGGGUGGUGGAAUUUCCUGUGUAGCGGUGAAAUGCGUAGAUAUAGGAAGGAACACCAGUGGCGAAGGCGACCACCUGGACUGAUACUGACGCUGAGGUGCGAAAGCGUGGGGAGCAAACAGGAUUAGAUAC